rnacentral:misc_RNA from 1 species
GAUGAAGAACGCAUCGAAAUGCGAUAAGUAGUGUGAAUUGCAGAAUUCAGUGAAUCAUCGAAUCUUUGAACGCACAUUGCGCCCCUUGGUAUCCCGAGGGGCAUGCCUGUUCGAGCGUCAUUUCACCACUCAAGCCUGGCUUGGUGUUGGGCGACGUCACCUUUGGGGACGCGCCUCGAAACGCUCGGCGGCGUGGCACCGGCUUUAAGCGUAGCAGAAUCUUUCGCUUUGGAAGUCGGGGCCCCGUCUGCCGGAAGACCUACUCGCAAGGUUGACCUCGGAUCAGGCAGGGAUACCCGCUGAACUUAAGCAUAUCAAUAAGCGGAGGA